CUAAGCUGUGGGAAAUGGGAAAUUGCGUAAAAAUCUGGGUUGGGUGAUUUAAAAAAAAAGCAGGGGCUGGGCAUAGGCAGUAAUAUAAGGCAAGAUGGCUAAGGAAGAAGGUGGGCAGCGGAGCCGGUGAAGGAAGCCGCAGGCGCGGAUGGAGGCGAAGAGAUCAGGAGCAGUAAAGGAACACUCUCUUCCCCAGUCAGCUGGGAUACGGAUUUUGUAAGGCCUAGGGACUUUGUCUUUGGAGGUCCUGUCUCCAUAAGGCUUCCCAAAACAAAGAAUGUUCAGAUUGGACUGGCCUUAAAAUGCAGUAUUUAAAACAGCAACAUGUCUGACAGAUCCGAGAAAUGAAAUACGUCCAUUUCUUUUGGCAAGGAGCAGAAGGCAACAUAAAGCAGCUGCAAGAAUUAAUUCAUGGAGAUAGUUGACAUUUUCGAGCUGACUGCCUCUUAGAGAAAAUGAUGUCAUUCUCCAGCAGCCUAAUGACAGUCAUCAGCCUGAGAGGACACAUGCUAAUAAGACUAUCACCAGCAAAGAAUUUUCUGAGCAAAUGUGUACUGGAGACCUUCUGAGGAACCCACUAGAGCCUGCACAUCCCCUUUUCCUAGCAAGGUCAACUGGAAAACAGAAAUUCAGCAAGGUUAAGUGACUUGCCCAAAAUCAGAGCUGAAACUCUAUUUCUCUUCCUCCAAAUCCAGUGUUCUUUCCAAGAUAACGUGCAACUUUCCUUUGGAAUGAUCAGCAGAAUGUCAAAUAAGGAAAGGACAUGUAGAGUUCAUGGGAGGAGACAUUACUUCUGGCUGCAGAAUUAUGGAGGCUUUAUGGGAGACGCCGUAUAUUUUAUCUGUGCGCCUUGAUCACGUGUCUGACCAUGGACAGAGAAACCAGCCUAAUGAGCCUUCUUUACAGGUCUUACUGCCUAUUAGAGCAAAGGAAGAGGAAAUCUUUGGCUAACCGGUCAGAGAAAACAACUGGAUUAAACAAGAUACUCUUCAUGACUGUGGUUGCAAAAAUGCAACACAACUUUUAAAAAUCUUAGUACUAAUUUUUAAAAAUGGCUUUUAAUUUGGGGGAGACUCGAUAACAGAACCCGAAAAUCUGAUGAAUUGUAUGAACAUUUUGUUCAGAAAAAUAAACAUAUAUUACCAGAAAAUUUCAUAUGUGAUUCAAGAAGUCCACAGAAGUUCCAUGUUGUAAGUAAUUAGAAAAUAAGAAUUCUGAAUUGUUAAAAUAAAAUUUAAUGUUCAACAUCAUUCAUCCAGGAAGUGGAAUUUUCCCUCUGUUAAUCAUAGAAAGAAAUGCUCUCAAAUUUAGGUGGAAAUAAAAUAUUUGUUGUUGGAAAUGUAUAUACUUCUGCUGCUUUUAAAAUUCCAGGCUUCAUCCAUAUUCAAAAUGCAAAAUAUUAUUAAAAUAAUCAGAGCUUUGACUUUGGAAAAGUCUGAAAUUGCACCUUGGCAACACUGGAUCUACUCCUGUCACUCCCCAAGUGGUGGUCCUUAAGUGUUAGUGUGCUUGAGAAUUAACUACAGAGAUUGUCUAAAAUUACCAGUUUCUAGGAUGAGCCCACCAAUCUGUGUUUUAACAGGAGCUCCAGAAAAU
rnacentral:lncRNA from 1 species